rnacentral:lncRNA from 1 species
CAUACCACGGGUAAAGAAAAGCUGUGAGUAAACCCUCUUUGAUAGGGAGCUCUUUCGUCAACCCCUUCUAGUAGGAAAAACUCAAAUGAGAUGUAUAAUCCCUAAACUCGUAGGGUACAUCUCAACCUACAUUGGCUACAUAGUUUUGGAAUGCAAGGAUUACUUCUAAGGAUCACACCCUCUACUGACUAACAGGUGAGUCCCCAUCCUUGGGUUUACUCAG